UGUGUCUGGAAAGAUUUAUCGGUUGGGGAUGGGCUCGCGGCCUAUCAGCUUGUUGGUGGGGUAACGGCCCACCAAGGCGACGACGGGUAGCCGGCCUGAGAGGGCGACCGGCCACACUGGGACUGAGACACGGCCCAGACUCCUACGGGAGGCAGCAGUGGGGAAUAUUGCGCAAUGGGCGAAAGCCUGACGCAGCGACGCCGCGUGAGGGACGAAGGCCUUCGGGUUGUAAACCUCUUUCAGCAGGGAAGAAGCGAAAGUGACGGUACCUGCAGAAGAAGCACCGGCUAACUACGUGCCAGCAGCCGCGGUAAUACGUAGGGUGCAAGCGUUGUCCGGAAUUAUUGGGCGUAAAGAGCUCGUAGGCGGUUUGUCGCGUCUGCUGUGAAAACUCGGGGCUUAACCCCGGGCCUGCAGUGGGUACGGGCAGACUAGAGUGCGGUAGGGGAGACUGGAAUUCCUGGUGUAGCGGUGAAAUGCGCAGAUAUCAGGAGGAACACCGGUGGCGAAGGCGGGUCUCUGGGCCGUAACUGACGCUGAGAAGCGAAAGCGUGGGGAGCGAACAGGAUUAGAUACCCUGGUAGUCCACGCCGUAAACGUUGGGCGCUAGGUGUGGGGCUCUCUCCACGAGUUCCGUGCCGCAGCAAACGCAUUAAGCGCCCCGCCUGGGGAGUACGGCCGCAAGGCUAAAACUCAAAGGAAUUGACGGGGCCCGCACAAGCGGCGGAGCAUGCGGAUUAAUUCGAUGCAACGCGAAGAACCUUACCAAGGCUUGACAUGAGCGGUAAUCCGGCAGAGAUGUCGGGUCCGUAAGGGCCGCUCACAGGUGGUGCAUGGUUGUCGUCAGCUCGUGUCGUGAGAUGUUGGGUUAAGUCCCGCAACGAGCGCAACCCUCGUUCUAUGUUGGCAGCACGUCAUGGUGGGGACUCAUAGGAGACUGCCGGGGUCAACUCGGAGGAAGGUGGGGAUGACGUCAAAUCAUCAUGCCCCUUAUGUCUUGGGCUUCACGCAUGCUACAAUGGCCAGUACAAAGGGCUGCGAGACCGUAAGGUGGAGCGAAUCCCAAAAAGCUGGUCUCAGUUCGGAUCGGGGUCUGCAACUCGACCCCGUGAAGUCGGAGUCGCUAGUAAUCGCAGAUCAGCAACGCUGCGGUGAAUACGUUCCCGGGCCUUGUACACACCGCCCGUCACGUCACGAAAGUCGGUAACACCCGAAGCCGGUGGCCCAACCCUUGUGGAGGGAGCCGUCGAAGGUGGGACUGGCGAUUGGGACGAAGUCGGAACAAGGUA
rnacentral:rRNA from 1 species